CCUACGGGUGGCAGCAGUGAGGAAUAUUGGGCAAUGGGGGCAACCCUGACCCAGCCAUGCCGCGUGAGUGAAGCAGGUCUUCGGAUUGUAAAGCUCUUUCGGCCGUGACGAUGAUGACGGUAGCGUCUAAAUAAGCCCCGGCCAACUUCGUGCCAGCAGCCGCGGUAAUACGAAGGGUGCGAGCGUUGUUCGGAAUUACUGGGCGUAAAGGGAGUGUAGGCGGAUAUGUAAGAUAGCGGUGAAAUGCCGGGGCUCAACCCCGGAACUGCCAUUAUGACUAUGUAUCUAGAGUAAUGGAGAGGAGAGCGGAAUAACCAGUGUAGAGGUGAAAUUCGUAGAUAUUGGGUAGAACACCGGUGGCGAAGGCGGCUAGCUGGACAGUGACUGACGCUGAGGCUCGAAAGCAUGGGGAUCAAACAGGAUUAGAUACCCGUGUAGUC
rnacentral:rRNA from 1 species